GACGAACGCUGGCGGUUUGCUUAACACAUGCAAGUCGAACGGAAAGGCCCUGCUUUUGUGGGGUGCUCGAGUGGCGAACGGGUGAGUAACACGUGAGUAACCUGCCCUUGACUUUGGGAUAACUUCAGGAAACUGGGGCUAAUACCGGAUAGGAGCUCCUGCUGCAUGGUGGGGGUUGGAAAGUUUCGGCGGUUGGGGAUGGACUCGCGGCUUAUCAGCUUGUUGGUGGGGUAGUGGCUUACCAAGGCUUUGACGGGUAGCCGGCCUGAGAGGGUGACCGGCCACAUUGGGACUGAGAUACGGCCCAGACUCCUACGGGAGGCAGCAGUGGGGAAUAUUGCACAAUGGGCGGAAGCCUGAUGCAGCAACGCCGCGUGCGGGAUGACGGCCUUCGGGUUGUAAACCGCUUUCGCCUGUGACGAAGCGUGAGUGACGGUAAUGGGUAAAGAAGCACCGGCUAACUACGUGCCAGCAGCCGCGGUGAUACGUAGGGUGCGAGCGUUGUCCGGAUUUAUUGGGCGUAAAGGGCUCGUAGGUGGUUGAUCGCGUCGGAAGUGUAAUCUUGGGGCUUAACCCUGAGCGUGCUUUCGAUACGGGUUGACUUGAGGAAGGUAGGGGAGAAUGGAAUUCCUGGUGGAGCGGUGGAAUGCGCAGAUAUCAGGAGGAACACCAGUGGCGAAGGCGGUUCUCUGGGCCUUUCCUGACGCUGAGGAGCGAAAGCGUGGGGAGCGAACAGGCUUAGAUACCCUGGUAGUCCACGCUGUAAACGGUGGGUACUAGGUGUGGGGUCCAUUCCACGGGUUCCGUGCCGUAGCUAACGCUUUAAGUACCCCGCCUGGGGAGUACGGCCGCAAGGCUAAAACUCAAAGGAAUUGACGGGGCCCCGCACAAGCGGCGGAGCAUGCGGGUUAAUUCGAUGCAACGCGUAGAACCUUACCUGGGUUUGACAUGGAUCGGGAGCGCUCAGAGAUGGGUGUGCCUCUUUUGGGGUCGGUUCACAGGUGGUGCAUGGCUGUCGUCAGCUCGUGUCGUGAGAUGUUGGGUUAAGUCCCGCAACGAGCGCAACCCUUGUUCACUGUUGCCAGCACGUUAUGGUGGGGACUCAGUGGAGACCGCCGGGGUCAACUCGGAGGAAGGUGGGGAUGACGUCAAGUCAUCAUGCCCCUUAUGUCCAGGGCUUCACGCAUGCUACAAUGGCUGGUACAGAGAGUGGCGAGCCUGUGAGGGUGAGCGAAUCUCGGAAAGCCGGUCUCAGUUCGGAUUGGGGUCUGCAACUCGACCUCAUGAAGUCGGAGUCGCUAGUAAUCGCAGAUCAGCAACGCUGCGGUGAAUACGUUCCCGGG
rnacentral:rRNA from 1 species